rnacentral:lncRNA from 1 species
GGCAGGAUCCAGAGUCAUAUUUGUGUCUAAAGUGUAGGAUAUAAUGAUGCCUUGAACCUAAUUGUCCUGCUUGACUACAUGCAUUUAUAUCCACACAUUUAAUGGAUAUAAUAGCUUAUUUACCAGUUUUUAAUGAGCUCAUUUCUACUCAGCUCCAGUCCUUGCAAGGGUGAUGUAUGGGGACAACAGAAUCAGUAUUUCUUCUACUGAACAAACACAGGUAGUGUAGAAAGGUGCUGAGCUUCUGUAGGUAGAAGUACAUUGAAGAUCCUCAUGAUCCAGAAGCAUGAAGAUAAGCUUGAAAGGCACAUUUAAAAGGCUGAUUGUCAAGUUAAGCUCUCAAAACAUCUCUCUCAUUUUUUUUUUGUAUCUGAGGAGUACCAUUUCUUCCAGGAAUGUCUCUGUUGCUUCAUUACUUCUACGUUUGCAUUUCUGGAUUACUCUGUGGAGAAACCAGGCCAUGGUGUGCUUCUUCAUUAAUGAGAUUCACAAGGAAAAUGUUGGUUUGGGAACUUCCCUUCAGGAACAACUCAAGACUGACAAUCCUGGGAGCACAGAGGUGUGUUCUUCUGAUGUAGACUGAGACAGAAGUGUCUCACUUCAG